GCUGGGGAUAUAGCUCAGUUGGUAGAGUGCUUGCCUCAGAUGCACAAGGCCCAGGGUUCAAUCCCCAGCACCACAGCA
rnacentral:tRNA from 1 species